rnacentral:rRNA from 1 species
CACAAGCGGUGGAUGAUGUGGAUUAAUUCGAUGCAACGCGAAGAACCUUACUACCCUUGACAUGUCCGGAACUUGCCAGAGAUGGCUUGGUGCCCGAAAGGGAAUCGGAACACAGGUGCUGCAUGGCUGUCGUCAGCUCGUGUCGUGAGAUGUUGGGUUAAGUCCCGCAACGAGCGCAACCCUUAUCAUUAGUUGCUACGCAAGGGCACUCUAAUGAGACUGCCGGUGACAAACCGGAGGAAGUGGGGAUGACGUCAAGUCCUCAUGGCCCUUAUGGGUAGGGCUUCACACGUCAUACAAUGGUCGGUACAGAGGGUUGCCAAGCCGCGAGGCGGAGCCAAUCCCACAAAGCCGAUCGUAGUCCGGAUUGUUCUCUGCAACUCGAGAGCAUGAAGUCGGAAUCGCUAGUAAUCGCAGGUCAGCAUACUGCGGUGAAUACGUUCCCGGGUCUU